rnacentral:misc_RNA from 1 species
GGAAGUAAAAGUCGUAACAAGAUUUCCGUAGGUGAACCUGCGGAAGGAUCAUUAAAGAAUGCCCCGUUUUUCGAAAUGGGUUCUAUUCCCAAACCGUGUCUACAUACCUUUGUUGCUUUGGCGGGCCGCCUUCGGGCGUUGGCCUCGGCUAACUGUGCCCGCCAGAGGACCCAAACUCGUUUUGUUUAGUGAUGUCUGAGUACUAUAAAAUAGUUAAAACUUUCAACAACGGAUCUCUUGGUUCUG